CGCAGCCGCGGUAAUUCCAGCUCCAAUAGCGUAUAUUAAAGUUGUUGCAGUUAAAAAGCUCGUAGUUGAAUUUCGGGGUUAGUAGGUUGGUCAUGCCUCCGGUAUGUACUGGUCUCACUGAUUCCUCCUUCCUGAUGAACCGUAAUGCCAUUAAUUUGGUGUUGCGGGGAAUUUGGACUGUUACUUUGAAAAAUUAGAGUGUUUGAAGCAAGCUAACGCUUGAAUACAUUAGCAUGGAAUAAUGAAAUAGGACGUUCGAUCUUAUUUUGUUGGUUUCUAGGAUUGACGUAAUGAUUAAUAGGGAUAGUUGGGGGCAUUAGUAUUCAAUUGUCAGAGGUGAAAUUCUUGGAUUUAUUGAAGACUAACUACUGCGAAAGCAUUUGCCAAGGAUGUUUUCAUUAAUCAAGAACGAAAGUUAGGGGAUCGAAGACGAUCAGAUACCGUCGUAGUCUUAACCAUAAACUAUGCCGACUAGGGAUCGGAUGAUGUAAUUUUUAAUGACUCAUUCGGCGCCUUACG
rnacentral:rRNA from 1 species